CAGAGACAGGCUCAUAUGCAUAUAUAUUAUUAUUACUUCUUACAGUUAUCAACAAAAAACCGUCGGAGACGUGUGAUGCUCCCCAAAUUGUUUUUUUGUCACAAUAUCUCACUAAAUAUUCAGAUAAAAGGAAACGUCUAGUAGUUGGGGGGACAAGAAUUGCACUAUAUGUACAGUUUAUAGAAAAUUUCAAAGGGCCAUAACUCUGUGAAAAAUCAUCCGACCAGAACCAGCUGAUAAUAUGCACAUCUCCUCUUGGUAGUGAAGCUUCCCAUAAAGUUUAGUUGAAUUCCGGUCAUUUAUUGCUGAGAAAUAGCCCGGACAAAAAUUGUGCACGGACAGACGGACACACACACGGACAGACCAAGCAGCGACUAUACGCUCCCCCAAAAAUUAGCAAGUCAUCAACUGACAAACACACCCUGAAUUCACUCACAUCACCACUAGCAAGUCAUCAACUGACAAACACACACAAUCCUGUUAAGAGCCAAAUUAUGGAGACAUUUCUCAGGCAUCAUCAUACACAGUUCAUAACCACAAAA